rnacentral:rRNA from 1 species
UUUAUGGAGAGUUUGAUCCUGGCUCAGAGUGAACGCUGGCGGCGUGCCUAAUACAUGCAAGUCGAACGAUGAAGCUUCUAGCUUGCUAGAAUGCUGAUUAGUGGCGCACGGGUGAGUAACGCAUAGGUCAUGUGCCUCUUAGUUUGGGAUAGCCAUUGGAAACGAUGAUUAAUACCAGAUACUCCCUACGGGGGAAAGAUUUAUCGCUAAGAGAUCAGCCUAUGUCCUAUCAGCUUGUUGGUAAGGUAAUGGCUUACCAAGGCUAUGACGGGUAUCCGGCCUGAGAGGGUGAACGGACACACUGGAACUGAGACACGGUCCAGACUCCUACGGGAGGCAGCAGUAGGGAAUAUUGCUCAAUGGGGGAAACCCUGAAGCAGCAACGCCGCGUGGAGGAUGAAGGUUUUAGGAUUGUAAACUCCUUUUGUUAGAGAAGAUAAUGACGGUAUCUAACGAAUAAGCACCGGCUAACUCCGUGCCAGCAGCCGCGGUAAUACGGAGGGUGCAAGCGUUACUCGGAAUCACUGGGCGUAAAGAGCGCGUAGGCGGGAUAGUCAGUCAGGUGUGAAAUCCUAUGGCUUAACCAUAGAACUGCAUUUGAAACUACUAUUCUAGAGUGUGGGAGAGGUAGGUGGAAUUCUUGGUGUAGGGGUAAAAUCCGUAGAGAUCAAGAGGAAUACUCAUUGCGAAGGCGACCUGCUGGAACAUUACUGACGCUGAUUGCGCGAAAGCGUGGGGAGCAAACAGGAUUAGAUACCCUGGUAGUCCACGCCCUAAACGAUGGAUGCUAGUUGUUGGAGGGCUUAGUCUCUCCAGUAAUGCAGCUAACGCAUUAAGCAUCCCGCCUGGGGAGUACGGUCGCAAGAUUAAAACUCAAAGGAAUAGACGGGGACCCGCACAAGCGGUGGAGCAUGUGGUUUAAUUCGAAGAUACACGAAGAACCUUACCUAGGCUUGACAUUGAGAGAAUCCGCUAGAAAUAGUGGAGUGUCUGGCUUGCCAGACCUUGAAAACAGGUGCUGCACGGCUGUCGUCAGCUCGUGUCGUGAGAUGUUGGGUUAAGUCCCGCAACGAGCGCAACCCCCUUUCUUAGUUGCUAACAGGUUAUGCUGAGAACUCUAAGGAUACUGCCUCCGUAAGGAGGAGGAAGGUGGGGACGACGUCAAGUCAUCAUGGCCCUUACGCCUAGGGCUACACACGUGCUACAAUGGGGUGCACAAAGAGAAGCAAUACUGCGAAGUGGAGCCAAUCUUCAAAACACCUCUCAGUUCGGAUUGUAGGCUGCAACUCGCCUGCAUGAAGCUGGAAUCGCUAGUAAUCGCAAAUCAGCCAUGUUGCGGUGAAUACGUUCCCGGGUCUUGUACUCACCGCCCGUCACACCAUGGGAGUUGUGUUUGCCUUAAGUCAGGAUGCUAAAUUAGCUACUGCCCACGGCACACACAGCGACUGGGGUGAAGUCGUAACAAGGUAACCGUAGGUGAACCUGCGGUUGGAUCACCUCCUUU